UUUAAAAUUUGAUAUCUGUAAGUUGUUUUGUUUUGUUUUUUUGUAAAAAGCCAUUCUAAAGUAAUUGUCCUGAAUUCACAACUUAGUAGUCAAGAGCAUAGCUGAGUGACAAGACAAUUCCUUUUCUUCUAACAUGCAAUUAAUCUCAAAUCUCCAUACCUGCUUCUUUAUUAUAUGAAUUUAAUACUCUGAUUUUGUGAUAUCAGAACAUCUCCCCCCCCCCCACCCCCUUACCUCUCUCCUCUUGCAUGCUACCUGUAUUUUGACUGGUUUGCAUGUCAGCAGUUCUUUUAUAUUUGAGCAGAUAGUGGAGAAAUUCUCAGGAAAGAAGGUUGGUGAGACUACUGGUAUACUUCAGAGAUUUUUUUCACCCUUAGAAUCCUUUCUCCCCUCAGGGAGAGAUAAUGCAAAUAAUGCAAAUAAUCCUAGAGUAUUGCAGUUCUGUGUUAGGGUUGCCAACAUAAAUUUUUAAAUCUUAACGUCAUUUUACAUUGUUUCAAUCUGGUCUGAGUAAAAGUGUUAGCAAUUUAGCCUUUUUGUUUAAAAAAAAAAAAAAAAAAGACUGUAAGAGUCCUACCCUUGCUUUAUGAGAGGUUCAAAAAUGUAGUGAAAGCUUGUAACAUCCUUUUCAGAGGGUUACCUAGAAAUAAGGAAAUGCAUAUAUUUUAACAGUAACUAUGUUGAAAUUUUAAUAUACUUCCAGAAGAGUAUGCAUAUAUUUUUUUUUUAUCAGAAGAUACAUUUAAGAGGCAUUGGUUUUGAUCCUUUGUAUCUGUUACCAUAUCAGAACCUCAAACAGAAGUAUUGCCCAAAUCGUAAAGGUUAUUGUUUGAAGAACAUUUAUAACUUCAGUCAUUGCAGGGAAUGGCUCGUGUUUCUCUACUAUUCUUUGUAUUCUUUCUCUGAAAAUUCCCAGAAAUAGGCUCAAUUCCCUUUAAGUUGGAAGAAUUAAAACAUCUAUACCAUUAAUACAGGCAGCCUGUUAACAAUAAUAGGGUUACUGAAAUUAACCUCUCCAGAAUUCUGGUUUAUAGAAAUAAACAGAAGUUGUUUUGGCUGUUCAGCAUGGGCUUAUUGGUUAUCUGUGUACUGUGUGUUGUGCCCCCAGUCUAUAAAAAUGACCAAGGUGUGGCUCUUACUUUUUGGAAACUGUCACCCAGAUUGGAGGACAGAUAAGCCACAGGGCCAGGACCACAAACAAUGUCGUAAGUGCUCUGAGAGCCCAGAAUAGGUUUCAAGCUAACUUGCUUUAGUUAUUUUAAGUCCAGUUACAACUUGCAAAGGUGAACCUGCUUUCCCCUUCUUAUGUAUGGAUCCUGCUUUUCCUUUCUUGGAUUUAAUUACUAGCUCAUUUACGUAUUUUUUUUCUGACAUUAGUGUCAUUUAGUGAAUCUUGAAGUGCUCUCAUAUGCAUUAAGUUGUCCAUAUCCUUUCUGAAACAAAAUGAAAGUUAUCAUAUACAAUAAGACACUGUUCAUCUGAAUAGUUGGGUUGAUGGAAGAAUUUGGCCAGAUGUUCUUGCCCUCUGUAAACAUAUAACAUAGGGGUGAUGAUUUACAAAGCACUAAUAUGGUAAAAUACCCUGAAUAUUAAAAGUAUGCCGACUGGCAUUAUUCUUUGAAUUAAGACAUGUCACAAUCUUACGGUCUCAAAUUCAAUAUUAACAUUACUUUUAAUUUAACUAAAGAUGCAGGUUAAGAUGUAGUAAUUGAUACUAACCCCCAGAAAUACUUACGGGUGUUACAUUUUCAAAUACCUUAUAGCAACCAAGCAUGAACCCCCACAAUGUACAGUGUCUCAAAGGGGCAGACAUAAGUGUUUGCAUGACAUACGCUUCUCUGUUCUCACACAGUCUUGUCUUGUGCUCAAGAUUUGUUCACAUCUACAAGUAACUAUACAGUAGAAAGAAGAUCAAGAGUGCUGUGGACAAAGUACAUUAAAAAGAAGAGGAAGGGAGUGGCGUGUGUGUGUGUGUGUUGGAAGGGUAAUUUGGGUGGAAAUGGGAAGUCACACAGGGUAGCAAUUGAGCUGGGGCAUUAAGUGGGAUUUGAAAGAGAUUGGGGGGGUGGGAAGUCAAGAAGAGAACACUGAUCAAAGACAUGUGGGUAAGCUUCUGUCUACUUAUAGUAUUUUCUGGGCAAUUCAGUCAUUCAAUAUAGACCUCUGAUUUUGUUAAACAUUUUUAUGUCUAUGACUAGUUAAAUCUCAGGUGAGUCAGAAAUUUGAGUCCAUAAUGAAAUACAAAGUAUCUAAACAUUCAAAACUUUGCUUUUGUUCCUUUGCCCAUAUUUCUACUGCAGCACUAGAAAUACUUACUAUAAUAGGUAGUAUGUGAUUUUUGGAGUUGCUAGGAAGGACAGUGCCUUCUUUUAAGGUAGACAUUUAUUUGGAGCAUUUGUUCAGUGUAUGCAAAACAAAAGCAAAAAUCCCUACAAAAUCUCUCCAGUAAUCUCCCCAGAACACAGACCAAUCUAUUUGUCAGUGUGUAUAUCUUUCAAACUCCGUGAUUUUAGAUGGUAAAGUGCUCCUUCUUUAGUGUUUAUACUAUUUCUAGGGCCAUAGUACCCAAUUGGCUCUUAAUAUAGGACUGCAGUUUAUUUUCAUUCUUAAUCCAUAUUGCUCAAGAGCCACAUUCCUAUAAGAUGAGGGGAACAUUGUCUCAGAUGUUCCUCAGGUAUUUCCAAGAUGAGGUUUUAGUUUGAUAGCUUUUUACAUUUUUGGGGUUUUUUGGGAACUCAGUUUAUAACCACACCUUCCCUUUUCAUGAAGAACCAUAGGAAAGAAAGGCAGACCAUUGAAGCGGCCCUUUAGGGAGGAGGACUUGUUUGUUUAUUCUGCAGGCCCCUUGGACCUACAGGUUGUGGUCAGCCACAUGCCAUCUCUAACUCUGAUUUUCAUUGUACACUCCUUCCGAGAAUCCUCCCUGGACAGUUUCAGAAGCCACCAGCCCCACCAUGGACUUCCUUGCCGAUCUGAAGAAACUGGCAGCCCCCUUCUGAGUGACCCACACUUUGGAAUGAAGUACAGUUGCAAGCAAAAGGAAAUGCUGGACGAGGAGAGGAUGAUGAGGCACCUAAUUGUGGGCUUGGGAAGUGACUUGACGACCCUGCCCUGAGAGCCUGCUCGAGAGGGUUGGCAAACUCUCCUGGUCCUGCUGUGAUUCCCUCAGGCUUGUGAGGGACGACAGAUGGUUGAGCUAAACUCGGAGCCACCCCUCCACAUAAUGAAGAAAAAUGACCAGCC